rnacentral:rRNA from 1 species
UAUCCGGGAAUUAUUGGGCGUAAGCGUCCGCAGGCGGUCCAGAAAGUCUGCUGUUAAAAAGUGGAGCUUAAACUCCAUCAUGGCAGUGGAAACUACUGGACUAGAGUGUGGUAGGGGCAGAGGGAAUUCCCGGUGUAGCGGUGAAAUGCGUAGAUAUCGGGAAGAACACCAGUGGCGAAGGCGCUCUGCUGGGCCAUAACUGACGCUCAUGGACGAAAGCCAGGGGAGCGAAAGGGAUUAGAUACCCCUGUAGUCCUGGCCGUAAACGAUGAACACUAGGUGUCGGGGGAAUCGACCCCCUCGGUGUCGUAGCCAACGCGUUAAGUGUUCCGCCUGGGGAGUACGCACGCAAGUGUGAAACUCAAAGGAAUUGACGGGGGCCCGCACAAGCGGUGGAGUAUGUGGUUUAAUUCGAUGCAACGCGAAGAACCUUACCAGGGUUUGACAUCCUGCGAAUCUCCUGGAAACGGGAGAGUGCCUUCGGGAACGCAGUGACAGGUGGUGCAUGGCUGUCGUCAGCUCGUGUCGUGAGAUGUUGGGUUAAGUCCCGCAACGAGCGCAACCCACGUCUUUAGUUGCCAGCAUUCAGUUGGGCACUCUAGAGAGACCGCCGGUGAUAAACCGGAGGAAGGUGUGGAUGACGUCAAGUCAUCAUGCCCCUUACAUCCUGGGCUACACACGUACUACAAUGCUACGGACAAAGAGCAGCAAGUUCGCGAGGACAAGCAAAUCUCAUAAACCGUGGCUCAGUUCAGAUCGUAGGCUGCAACUCGCCUACGUGAAGGAGGAAUCGCUAGUAAUCGCAGGUCAGCAUACUGCGGUGAAUACGUUCCCGGGCCUUGUACACACCGCCCGUCACACCAUGGAACUUGGCCACGCCCGAAGCCGUUACUCCAACCCUUGUGGAGGAGGACGUCGAAGGUGGGGCUGAUGACGUGGGGUGAAGUCGUAACAAGGUAGCCGUAAAUCGUCGAC